rnacentral:rRNA from 1 species
UACGUAGGGGGCUAGCGUUGUCCGGAUUUAUUGGGCGUAAAGAGCGUGUAGGCGGCCAGGUAGGUCUGCUGUGAAAACUCGAGGCUCAACCUCGAGACGUCGGCGGAAACCAUCUGGCUAGAGUCCGGAAGAGGAGAGUGGAAUUCCUGGUGUAGCGGUGAAAAUGCGCAGAUAUCAGGAAGAAACACCCCUGGCGAAAGGGCGGGCUCUCUGGG